rnacentral:lncRNA from 1 species
AUUAAUGCCAUGCAGAAAGGUGGCAGACAUAACAGUCAACUAUUUUUUGGUGUAAUGAUUACCGGUCAAAGUUGAGUUAAGUGACAAUUUACAUAAUGGGCUAAUUCAAUGACUAAGCCCAAAUAAAGGAAAUGACCCAUAUGACCGGAUCCAACCGAGAUAACCCAAAGAAAUGAUCAAGUAAUUGGGCCAAAAUCAUUUGGAUCAAUAGGACAAAAGUAACAUAAUCCAAGGGAGGAGCCCAUUAAGUCUAGCCCAAUAAGGAAAAGGAUCGUGGCCCAACAUUGCCCCCUAGUCUUUUAUUAAACAGGGGGUUUAAUGGAAGACUAUAAACAAUAUAGGCCCAUGAUAUAACGGAUCAUGAUAAGUCACAAGAGGUUCAGAGUGAAACUUACCAAAGCCCAACUAAUUUGGUCCAAAUCGACAUCAGAGACAGAAAUGGGAGGCC